GAUGAACGCUGGCGGCGUGCCUAAUACAUGCAAGUCGAGCGAACAGACGAGAGUGCUUGCACUCUCUGACGUUAGCGGCGGACGGGUGAGUAACACGUGGGUAACCUACCUAUAAGACUGGGAUAACUUCGGGAAACCGGAGCUAAUACCGGAUAAUAUUUAGCUUCGCAUGAAGCAAUAGUGAAGGACGGUUCUGCUGUCACUUAUAGAUGGACCCGCGGUGUAUUAGCUAGUUGGUGAGGUAACGGCUCACCAAGGCAACGAUACAUAGCCGACCUGAGAGGGUGAUCGGCCACACUGGGACUGAGACACGGCCCAGACUCCUACGGGAGGCAGCAGUAGGGAAUCUUCCGCAAUGGACGAAAGUCUGACGGAGCAAUGCCGCGUGAGUGAAGAAGGUUUUCGGAUCGUAAAACUCUGUUGUAAGGGAAGAACAAGUACGUUAGUAACUGAACGUACCUUGACGGUACCUUACCAGAAAGCCACGGCUAACUACGUG
rnacentral:rRNA from 1 species